CCAACAAUGGUGUACGGAGAUUCAGUGGUUGUUUCUGCCGUAUUAUUUAUGCCUAUGUGGAUGGUAUCAUCGUAUUGACAUGCUUUACUCUACUGACGUAUUCGUCCAAAGGUUGUUCUCUGUAGAGUCUUAUCUUCAUGUAUGGUUCCUAUUACGAGCUUAACUCGCUGGCACCAGCUGAAGAGCUUAUCCGUCCAAGAGACCAGGAGUGGAUGCGUUUUGGGAUCAUCCUGGUUGUGUAUUCUGAUCGGUUGAACAUGGUCUAUAUGCAAUGAAAAAGUCUGUACUGCUUACCAGAUAAUUCUGUCAGUUUGGACAGUGAGUUCUUGGGAUCUGACAGUACUCAAAACCAGUGUGGGAUCUGGGAUGAUUAUUUUGUCUCUUUGUCGCAAA